AUGAACCAAGGACCUGGUCCGGGUCCACCUCCACCAAGUGCUGGCCGUGUGUCACUGGGGUCACUCCACUCUCUGCAUUAGGUCUCAGUCAUCCAAGACCAUCUUUCAAGGGCCGUCACUCCAAUUAUGAGUCUGGGAUUUUCUGAAAUUGAGCAUUUUGGCCAGGCUGUGGGGUCCCUCUAUGACUGCCUGUAAGACACUGCCAAGGGGACUUUCUUCCUUUCACCAGACUGAAGCUAAGAAGUGCUGGAGACAGCAGUUGCUUUAGCCACAGGCUGUGUAGACCACCUGAGGAUGACCUGGGGGUCUGUUUUGUGCACCUUGGAACCCAUCGGAUCCCUCCAAUGACACAUUUGUCCAGAGCAAGACAAGAUCACACUUUGACAGCCCUCUGUCAAGAUCCUUGCUCCAAAUCUCCAGACUAGCAGCCAGGAGUCUCCAUGCUGUUCUGAAGAAGCAGAUUCCUCACCCACCCUUCAACUCCUUCCCAGGAGGUAAUCCUCCUCCAAAUCUCUGGAAAAGAUACACCUCCUCUUCUCUGAUAAAGGCUGGGGGGUGAUGCCCCUCCCCCAGUUUCCCAAUAAAGC
rnacentral:lncRNA from 1 species